rnacentral:misc_RNA from 1 species
GAUGAAGAACGCAGCGAAAUGCGAUAAGUAAUGUGAAAUGCAGAAUUCAGUGAAUCAUCGAAUCUUUGAACGCACAUUGCGCCCGCCAGUAUUCUGGCGGGCAUGCCUGUCCGAGCGUCAUUUCAACCAUCAAGCCCCGGGCUUGUGUUGGGGACCUGCGUCCGACGCAGGCCCUGAAAACCAGUGGCGGGCUCGCUGUCCACACCGAGCGUAGUAACUAACCUCGCUAUGGAGUGGCGCGGGCGCCUGCCGUAAAACCCCCAAUUUCACAAGGUUGACCUCGGAUCAGGUAGGAAUACCCGCUGAACUUAAGCAUAUCAAUAAGCGGAGGA